rnacentral:rRNA from 1 species
UACAGAGGGUGCAAGCGUUGUUCGGAAUUAUUGGGCGUAAAGCGCGUGUAGGCGGCAUGGCAAGUCGGGUGUGAAAGCCCUCAGCUUAACUGAGGAAGUGCGCCCGAAACUGCCGUGCUUGAGUGCCGGAGAGGGUGGCGGAAUUCCCCAAGUAGAGGUGAAAUUCGUAAGAUAUGGGGAGGAACACCGGUGGCGAAGGCGGCCGACCUGGACGGUAACUGACGCUGAGACGCGAAAGCGUGGGGAGCAAACAGG